CUUCAGAUGAGAUCUGGGCCAUCGAUCAGUGCUUUUGAUCUUCUAUUCAAAGUCGAGAGCAUCCUCAGUCAUUGGAUUUGAUGAUGGAUGUGUUUUCGGCCAUUAGAUCGUGCAAAAACCCCUCUUAUAAAUCGAUAAUGGAUGCUAACCAUCGAAUCUGGGUCAGGAUGAAUGUCAGCCAUUGGAUCGCAUAAAAGAGGCUUCCACCACUCGUAGACUGUGCC
rnacentral:lncRNA from 1 species